GUACAAUCCCGCCGCCGCCUACCAAGAAGCAAACAGCGACGAAGACGACGGCGGCACAUAGAGAUCAUACGGCGCCCAUAGCCGAUCAACGGGGCAGGGGGAGCCGGCAUCAAGCCGGUCCCACGGCUUCCCCUUCCCGCUCCAAUGCAGCAAGCUCACCGGCCCCGGGUGCAGCGGCCGGCAGCUCCCGGACACAUUGUCCCCGCCCAACCCAUGCACGUUCCACCGGUGCUCCACCGCCACAAUAUCGCCGGCAAACACCAACAGAAACGGCGGCAGCGAGCCUAACUCGUAA
rnacentral:misc_RNA from 1 species